ACAACAUUUGGAGCGUCGGUCUACCGAGCUAAUUCACUCGCUCGGUGGAAAAUCUUACUUUUUUCUU
rnacentral:pre_miRNA from 1 species